UACGAAGGGGGGCUAGCGUUGCUCGGAAUCACUGGGCGUAAAGAGCUCGUAGGCGGUCUGUCGCGUCUGCUGUGAAAACUCGGGGCUUAACCCCGGGCCUGCAGUGGGUACGGGCAGACUAGAGUGCGGUAGGGGAGACUGGAAUUCCUGGUGUAGCGGUGAAAUGCGCAGAUAUCAGGAGGAACACCGGUGGCGAAGGCGGGUCUCUGGGCCGUAACUGACGCUGAGGAGCGAAAGCGUGGGGAGCGAACAGG
rnacentral:rRNA from 1 species